CUCGUUUCGAAGAGUAGUGCGAGCGUAUAUUAGUUUAGACACAUUAUUUAAAGACUCGAAGUUUUCAUUUCACACCUUUCUUUAUAAGAAUCAUACCUUUUGUCACUCACAAAAUUAAAUCUCUUAACUCUUUCGUGGGAGUCACCUAAAGAUCCAUUGUGUGUCGGCGCUUUGUUUUCCGUGUGUUCUUUGGGUGCAAAUUGGUUUCAGAAACUCUUCUAGGUUUCUGGUGAUGAAAUGCAGUUUUGAAAAAACACGCAUGUUGGUUUGUUGAAAGCAACUUACACGACGCGUUACGUCGAUUGGAGCCUUGUUGAUAGGAAUGUUGUGAGCAACUUGAUCGCAUGACGAAGGGAAAAACUGACCUCCUACUGGUGGGGUAGAGGGCAAUUGGGCUCCGCACCAAGUGGGAAGCAUAUCUGCUAAAUGAUCGGGUGCUUGGCUAACACUUGGAGUCGUUAAAGUGACGUUUGGUGUUGGGCUGGAAGGAGUGUUUGUUGUGAUACUUGUAGUAGGUGGCUGUGUAUUUUGGCGAUGUCGUUUCGUAAGUGUCACUAGCGUGAGAGGAUUGCCUGCCCGUUUAGGACACUGGAAAACACAGGCGAGGGCAAAUGUUGAAGAAGGGGUACAGUUUCUUUUAUAAGAAUACCCUGAAUUCUGAACAUCCGUAAUAGCCUUGGUAAUGGCCUCAUUGACAACAAAAUCGAUUCGGUGUAAAGC